AGAGUUUGAUCCUGGCUCAGAGCGAACGCUGGCGGCAGGCCUAACACAUGCAAGUCGAGCGCCCUCUUCGGAGGGAGCGGCGGACGGGUGAGUAACACGUGGGAACGUACCCUUUGGUUCGGAACAAGCCCGGGAAACUGGGUCUAAUACCGGAUGUGCCCUUCGGGGGAAAGAUUUAUCGCCAUUGGAGCGGCCCGCGUUGGAUUAGCUAGUUGGUGGGGUAAAGGCCCACCAAGGCUCCGAUCCAUAGCUGGUCUGAGAGGAUGAUCAGCCACACUGGGACUGAGACACGGCCCAGACUCCUACGGGAGGCAGCAGUGGGGAAUCUUGCGCAAUGGGCGAAAGCCUGACGCAGCCAUGCCGCGUGAAUGAUGAAGGUCUUAGGAUUGUAAAAUUCUUUCAGCAGGGACGAUAAUGACGGUACCUGCAGAAGAAGCCCCGGCUAACUUCGUGCCAGCAGCCGCGGUAAUACGAAGGGGGCUAGCGUUGCUCGGAUUUACUGGGCGUAAAGGGCGCGUAGGCGGAUCAGCAAGUUGGGGGUGAAAGCCCGGGGCUCAACCUCGGAACUGCCUUCAAAACUGCCGGUCUUGAGUAUGAGAGAGGUGUGUGGAACUCGAGUGUAGAGGUGAAAUUCGUAGAUAUUCGGAAGACACCAGUGGCGAAGGCGACUCACUGGCUCAUUACUGACGCUGAGGCGCGAAAGCGUGGGGAGCAACAGG
rnacentral:rRNA from 1 species